ensembl:lncRNA
CGCACUCCUAAACGUUGACAUGGCUGAGGGGAAACGAGCUAAGACCUACCAUUUUCACCCUGAGUGGGAGGAAGAUUAUUUUUUUGUUUAUUCUCAUUCAAAGCCUGUUAGUUUGAUCUGCAAUGCAACGGUGGCGUUGGCAAAGAAAGGGAAUCUGGAGCGGCAUUUUAAAACUGUACACGGGAAAAAGUGUUGUGAGGUUAGUUACUGCAGGCUGGGAACGAUGCGUGUGGGUUUGCAAUGUUGACACUAGACUGGUCGAUUUCGGGAGGUUGGCUACUUGAAAAGUAGAUCUUGAGUCAAAAAAAGGUUGGGCACCCCUGCUGUAGGCACAUUCAGUGCGUUUACAUGACACUCAAGAAAGUCAAAUUAUUGGCUUAGUCCGAGGCUUUUAGACGUUUCCCACCAAGCGUGGUUAUUUGACCGGGAAAAAAUGUAUCUAUAUUUUUUGUAUUUUUUUUAAGGGCUUUUAGCCGUUUCUACUGAUCAAGUUGCAUCCAGAUAUUUUUUCACCUUCAUGAUUGUUCCACAACGGUGUGCAUAUGUAGAAUCCAUUAAAUCUGAUGGAUUCUGAAUUGAUUUCAUGCAAAAAUGAAUUUGCAUGCAAUUAUUCUGAGGAAUAACUGCUUGAUGUUAAAGGGCUUUAAGUUAAUCAAUAACAUAUCCCCAGCUUCUAUAUGCUACUGUCAAAGUGCUGUGCUGUAGAUGAUAAAAUUGUCUCAUCUCUGAUUUUACAGGUGCCAUCAUGUUGAUAAAAACUAAAAUAAAUAUGGAACAAAAAUAUGUCAGGAUAACUGAGCCAAACUUGGAAGAAUUCUUGGAUGCUGCUUUCAUGAAGUUCUCCAUCCCACCACCCACUGAAGGCGUCACAGUGUAUGAUAAGACGGGAACGGAGGUGGACGCAGACGUCUUUGAAGACGUUGCACAGCAGCCAAAUGCUGGUGUAUUUACAAUCAGAUUCAAACACACAUUGGAGGGAGCAACAGGCAGUUCACUGCCUGAUGCAGCACUGGAACUUUCUAACUACAACCCUGAAGAUUCAGUCAUCCUAGAACUUUUAUCUUGCACUUCUGAUGACACCAUCAUCCUGGAGGAGGAUUCAAGUCCAUCUGCAAAAAGGCAGAAACAAGACCGAGAUGCCAAACACGUAUGUUGAUGUGUAUAAUGUUUGAUGUGGCAGAUUCCUUUGGGGAUUGCUCACUUUUUAUUGUAUUUUCUGUGUUUCACAGUUAGUUGAAUCAGCCCUGGCUAAGAAACCAGGUUGAGACUGCAUUGUGAAAGAAUACAACAGGACAAAAGGUCUAACUGACUCUUCACGGCGACAGAUGGUGAACAUCCUUGCUGCCGACAUGACUGAAACUCAUGGGUAAGAGAAACUUUACUGGACUCUUGUUAGUAAAAUCUGAUUUGGCUGUUCAAUCACACCUCUCUGCUUUCAUCAGUUAGUUUUGUUUUUAUUUAUAGACUUAGUUCGUAAACUUUAAACAUUCCAUCUUAGUAGACUUUUUUGUUAUUGUUAUUUUACCCGUUGCAGGAUGGCACCGCCACGGCAUGUCAGAGAGAUGUAUGCCAAAGGCAUAGUUUCCAUGUUCCCGUACCUGAUGGAUCCAUAUUCCAAAAAUGGAUAUGCAAGUAUUUUUAUGCAUUCAAACAAAUAUACAGAAACUA